AUAUAGUUUAAAAAAAACCUUACAUUUUCAUUGUAAAAUUAAAUAAUAUUAUUUUAUAAAUUACUA
rnacentral:tRNA from 1 species